UAACUUACAAAGUAAUUGACGGGCCCUCACGGAUAGACCCAAGAUGCCGCGUGCAGGAUGAAGGCCCUAUGCGUUGUAAACUGCUUUUAUACAGGAAGAAACGACUCUAGCGAGAGGCAUUGGCGGGACCGAAUGAAUAAACACCGGGUUACUUCGGGCCAACAGCCGGGGGAAUACCGAGGGGGCAAGCGGUGACCGGAUUUAUUGGGUUUAAAGGGGGCGCAAGGGGGUUAUUAAAUCAAGGGUGGAAGACCGAUGGUUAAACGUUGCAACGGCAUUGGAUCCGGUAAACUUGAAUUAAGGACAGGUGGGCGGAAUUGAUAGUGGAACGCGUGAAAUGCGUAAAUAUUAUACAAGAACUACAAUUGCGCGAUGCAGAGUCACAUUAGGUCUUACUGAGACUCAUACACAAAAAAGCGGGUAUCAAACACGAUUAUAUACCCCGUGAGAGCACACUGUAAACACUGAUAACUCUGGGUUGGGCGAAUCUGCUCGGUGACACUAAGAAAGAGUUAAGGUAUUCACACUGUGGAGAACACCAGCAACAGGGAAACUCAAAAGUGGUGCACGGGNUGGNCGGGNNNNNCNCNNNNUC
rnacentral:rRNA from 1 species